AUGAGAGUUUGAUCCUGGCUCAGGAUGAACGCUAGCGGCGCGCUUAACACAUGCAAGUCGUGCGAUCGGACCGGACCUGAUUCCUUCGGGAUGACGGACCGGUUACGGAGCGGCGGACGGGUGAGUAACACGUAGCUAACCUGCCUUCGGGCGGGGGAUAGCAUCGGGAAACCGUUGUUAAUACCCCAUAAUACCAACGAAACACAAGUUACGUUGGUCAAAAUUGUCUUUGGCAAUACCUGAAGAUGGGGCUGCGUCCUAUUAGCUAGACGGUGAGGUAAAGGCUCACCGUGGCCAAGAUAGGUAGGGGGCCUGAGAGGGCGAUCCCUCACACUGGAACUGAGACACGGUCCAGACUCCUACGGGAGGCUGCAGUGGGGAAUCUUGCGCAAUGGUCGAAAGGCUGACGCAGCGACGCCGCGUGGAGGACGAAGGCCUUCGGGUUGUAAACUCCUUUUCUGGGGGACGAAUAAGGUAAGUAGGUAAUGGCUUACCGAUGACGGUACUCCAGGAACAAGCGCCGGCUAACUUCGUGCCAGCAGCCGCGGUAAGACGAAGGGCGCAAGCGUUAUCCGGAAUUACUGGGCGUAAAGGGUGUCUAGGCGGUCGGUCAAGUCGACCGUGAAAGUCCUCGGCUAAACUGAGGAAAGUCGGCCGAAACUGAUCGACUCGAGGAACGUAGAGGGAAGCGGAACUCUCGGAGUAGCGGUGAAAUGCGUAGAGACCGAGAGGUACCCCGAUGGUGAAGACAGCUUCCUGGGCGUUUCCUGACGCUGAAGCACUAAGGCCAGGGGAGCGAAGGGGAUUAGAUA
rnacentral:rRNA from 1 species